ensembl:snRNA U6 U6 spliceosomal RNA
GUGCUCACUUCAGCAGCACAUAUACUAAAAUUGGAACGAUACAGAGAAGAUUAGCAUGGCCCCUGCACAAGGAUGACAUGCAAAUUCGUGGAGCAUUCCAUAUUUUA